GCUGGUCCCACUGUGCCUGGCGUCUCUCUUUCUCAUUAAACAGUGGAGAGUCAGAGGUGCACGUCUGCCCUGGCCAGGGGGCAGGAAGGAUCGUAUUAAUACAGAGACGCUCUCUGUCCGGGUGUCAGAUGACAUGGUUUUGCACCUCAUUUUGCGUCCCUUUAGUCUCUUUUAUGAUUGGUGCCUAAACCAUUAAGAUAAAAUUGAUGUUUUGUCUUCCUUAUUUGCUGGAGUCAUUUGUUUAUUCUCUUAAGUGCUUUCUUUAUGGUUCGGAACCACUCAGCACAUGUCAAAUCCCUACCUUUGGACUAAAGGAGAGCCCCCUCCUCCAACCAUACAGUCUAAAAAUUAGGGGUUCUUGGCACUGAAAAUGACCCCCAAAAGGUUCUUCCAAGAACCCCAUAGAGGAACUUCCUUAGUUGGUGGGGGUUCUUGCAGGAACCUAACUGCCCAACUGAGACAUUUGGAUUUGAAAGGACAGCAGGUGCAGGCACUUAACUGAAAAAUGUAAAGAUCUGAAUUUAAGGUAUACAGACGAGGAGGCAUACAAAGGCAUGUCAAUUGCUAUUGGUACGUUAUGUUAUGCAGAUCCCAUUUACCAUCCUCCUCCCUUACGUCUUCAAUGAAUAUCCCAUAGGCCUCUACAUUAUGGACAAGGAAACCUGUUUGAUCACCACGCACUGCAAAAUCAUUCUGGCUAUGGAUACGGAGAACAUCAACACAUUAACAUCAACAUACCAGAGGAUAUACCCAUUGGACUUGUGGCUCUGCUGGGAGUUUACCUCAUAUUUGAAUUUUGAAUUCUGCUUUGCAACUAAAAUCACAAUAAACACUGAGAACUAAAAUAUUGUGUUAUUGUUGUUAUUGUUAUUAUUGUUAUGUGUAUGAUUAUUAACAAUAAUAAUAGGGGAGAGGGGGUCAGUUAAAAAAUGUACCCCAAAAGGUUCUUCAAAAUGUUCUUCAAGGAUCCAUUAAAAGGGGUUCUUCAUUUAAAGGGUUCUUCAAAGAACAUAUAGGGGUUUGCCACAGUUUCAAUUUCAAGAACCCUUAAAGGAUACUCCAGGAACCUUUUCAUUUUAGAGUGUGGGCCAGCUGAAAACCGAUAAACAGACUAGGAUACUAAGCUAGGAUGUUGAGACGACAUCUUCUGAGCAGUCAAGGGGUAUGGUUGGUUUGUCUGCUGGGAAAGUUGUGGCCCUUCAAACCAUCAUACACCAUCGACUUUUAACGAUGCUAUGAUUUCUCUUUCAGAGAUUCCUGCUUUGUUUUUUUGUUUUUUUUUGUUUAGAGGUACAUUUCCCUGAAAUCUGGAAACUGCCUCACCAACAUUCAUCCUUGCUUGCCCAUUUAAAAACAAUUACACCAUCUCAAUACCACUACAAAAUAACAAGCAUCGCUUUAUUUUGUUUUCUACCCCUG
rnacentral:lncRNA from 13 species